rnacentral:lncRNA from 1 species
GAAAUGGGACGCAGGAAAUGUGUCACCCAGGCGUCACAAUGGGCAGCGGGGCAGCAGUGGCUGUGUCACCCAGGCGUCACAGUGGGGCCGUGACAUGGCAGCCCAGUCGCGAUAAAAGGCCCCUGGUUGCGGGCAGGCCCCAGUCGGGAUGGAAGCCCCUGGCAGCAGGCAGCAGAGGGCAGAGCAGGGCAGGACAGGGAGGCUCUUCUCCUCCAGGUUGCUCUUCCUGAAGUCUGGUCCAAGCCUGCUGUGGUGUACGGAGCUGUUCUGACCCUGAUGCAGAGCAUCGCAAGAUGGGAAAUAGGCUCUCUUCUCCUUGGAAGACGGAAUGAGAUUUAUUCACCAAAUCCUAGAUUUUCACAAGUUCCUCUGCAAGGAAGACCUACCCUUGAUGGACGAGUCUCAGCUGUGGUGCCUUCCGAGGGGCUGGGGCUGUGGUGGCCAUGCCCCGAGCUCUGCAGCAGCCUGUGGCAAGGCAACCGUGAGUGCGGCAGUCAUGAGCCCUGCCUGCCCUCCUCCUACCACGCUCCGUCAGGCGACUGCAGCAGAGGGGACCCACAGCCAGCCCCUGGCUGGGCUCUGCCACCCACCUCUCCAGUGCCAUCCCUGCUGCCUUGGGGUGCUCUGUGACACGCUGGGUGACCUCACAAGGCCUGCCGGCCAGCACAUCUCCUGCGGGGCAACCAGGCCGCACAGCGGCAGGGACCUCACCACCGCCCUUCCAGCCCCCUCCCCUCCCCUCGUCCCCGGCCUUUUCUCUGCUGGCAGGAGCGUCUUUGGGAGGCGCUUCCCGGCCUCCCCUCAAUACCAAGCUGAAAGGAAAAAUGGUCUCUUCCUUGACAGAACAAUGGCAUCAAAUUUGAAAAGCUUCAUUAGCAGAUGAAAGAAUAAGAGAAGAAAGAUUUAGAUGAUUUGAGCAUGGACAAGAACUGGGUUCAACUAGCAAACAUAGUGAGGAAGACUACCAAUGACCACCAGAGAACCCUGAAAGACAGUGGAAACAAAUGUGCAUGUGUCAGAGUCAUUUACAUAUUUUAACGAGUUACUGGAAAUAGUAUGAAUAUGUUAAUCUGUUUUUUUUUUAAUCUGAUUAAUAUGUAUGUUUUGAAUGUGUAUAACCCCUACAGCUUGAACAGUUCUGUAUGCACACUAGGCGGAGUGAUACUCAGUGUGUCCAGCAUGGCAGUAAAAGAAUGAAUGCUUUCUAAACCUCCAAAUUGAGUCUUAGAGAGUUCCUUUGACUGGCUUUUACAGUAUCACCCUCGCCUCCUGCCAGCUGCUACCCACUCAGGCUCCUGGCACAAACAUGCCGCCCCCCACCAACACCACCACUCAUGCUGCCUUUGCUGCCUUAUCCUGUCCUCUCCCUCAACUCCUUGUCUCUGCCAGGCCCCAUGUUCCCCACCCAAACACAUCCCUUUGCUGUCACCACCCUCUCCUCUGCCCAGCAGGAUGGCAGAGCCAGGGCAGGACAUGGGAGAGUUAGGCCCUGUAGCGCCCAUGCAGAACGCUUGUGGCAAAGUGGGAGCUGAGACUGGGUUCUUUGGUACAGAGGAGGCCCCAUACAGAAAAGAUGAGGUUCAACAGCAACUUUGCAGCCGGGGUCUCCAUCUUGGUUUGUCACAGGAGGCUUCUGGCCACGAAAGGGCAAGGGAUGGGUCAGCCACAACUUCUCUGGGCACACUGUUCCAGUGACCACCACCCUCAAAGGAAAGAAUUUCUUCCUUAUAUCUAAUUUAAAAGUACCCUCCUUUAGUUUUAAAACAUUACCUAAAGGUCCCCUUUAGGUACUGGAAGGCUGCUAUAGGGUUUCUCCAGGCUGAAAAGAACCAGCUUUCUCAGCCUGUCUUCACUGAAAAGGUGCUCUGGCCUUUCUAUCAUCUUUUUGGCCUCUUCUAGACUCAUUCUAAUACUUCUAUGUCCUUCUUGAGCUUGGGGCCCCAGAGCUGAAUGCAGAACUCCAUGUGGGGUCUCACAAGAGCAGAGUUCGGGGGGAGAAUCACCUCCCUUGACCUGCUGGACAAACUUCCUUCAGUGCAGCCCAGAAUAUGGUUGGCUUUCUGGGCUAUAAACUCAGAUUGCCAGCACAGGUUGAGUUUCUCAUCCACCAACAUCCCAGUUCCUUCUCCUCAGAGCUGUUCUCUAUCCAUUCUCCACCCAGCCUGCAUUUGUGCUUGAGAUUGCCCCAACCCAGUUGCAGGACCUUGCACUUGGCCUCAUUAAUCCUCAUGAGAUUCUCACAGUCCUACCUCUCAAGCCUGUCUAGGUCCCUCUGCAUAUCAUCCCUUCCCUCCCACAUGUUGAUUGUACCACGCAGCUUGGUGUCAUUGGCAAACUUGCUCAGGUGCACUUAACCUCACUGUCCAUGUCACCGACAAAGAUGUUAAAUAGUGCCAGACCCAAUAAUGUCCCCUGAGGAAGACCACUCAUUAAUGAUCUCCACUGAGACAUUGAGCUGCUGACCGCAGCUCUCUGAGUGUGACCAUAGAACCAAUUCUUUACUAGCCAAGUGGUCCAUCCAUCACAUCCCUGUCUCUCCAAUUGAGAGAUAAGGAUGUGAUGUGGGACACUGUCAAAUGCUUUGCACAAAUCAAGGUAUAUGAUGUGAGUUGCUCUUACCCUGUCCACCAGUAACCCCAUCAUAGAAGGCCACCAGAUUUGUCAGGCACAGUCUGCCCUUAGUGAAUCUAUCACCAACAGCCACCAGUUGGCUGUCACCAGCAAUCCAGAAAGGCAGGGCUGCAACACAUAGCAGUGAACCUGUGCAAGGGGGGUGACAGAAAUCACACGGGAAAACUGGGGGUCAUUUCAGGAGUCCUACAAAGAGAAAUCAUAGAAUCACAGAAUAGCCUAGGUUGGAAGAGACCUUCAAGAUCAUAUCUUUCCAUCGCCCCUGCCAUAGGCAGGUGUGGGAUAUGUAAUCAUGUAGAAAAUAUAGACUUAAUUAGCAAUGUAUAUAGAUAAAUUGUGGGAAAUGUAGAAAAAGCAGGUUUAAUUAGAAAUGUGGAUAAGACUUGUGAGAAUCCAGGAAGGGAGUUCUGGAAGACAAGAGAAAUGUGGAGGAUGAGAGACACCAUGGAGCCUGAGGCAUACAUAAAUAAAAGGAGAAGAUAACUGCA